rnacentral:rRNA from 1 species
GACGAACGCUGGCGGCGUGCUUAACACAUGCAAGUCGAACGAUGAAGCCCAGCUUGCUGGGUGGAUUAGUGGCGAACGGGUGAGUAACACGUGAGUAACCUGCCCUGGACUCUGGGAUAACCCCGAGAAAUCGGAGCUAAUACCGGAUAGGACCUUGGAUCGCAUGAUUCUUGGUGGAAAGUUUUUCGGUUUGGGAUGGACUCGCGGCCUAUCAGCUUGUUGGUGAGGUAAUGGCUCACCAAGGCGUCGACGGGUAGCCGGCCUGAGAGGGUGACCGGCCACACUGGGACUGAGACACGGCCCAGACUCCUACGGGAGGCAGCAGUGGGGAAUAUUGCACAAUGGGCGCAAGCCUGAUGCAGCAACGCCGCGUGCGGGAUGACGGCCUUCGGGUUGUAAACCGCUUUUAGUAAGGAAGAAGGGGCUUCGGCCUUGACGGUACUUGCAGAAAAAGGACCGGCUAACUACGUGCCAGCAGCCGCGGUAAGAC